rnacentral:rRNA from 1 species
AUGUCCUGGAACGUGAGGGGACUAAACUCACCAGCAAAGCACACAGCCGUCUGUGAGGUUGCUCACGCAAAUAAAAUUGCAAUUCUAAACCUGCAGGAAACUAAGAUCGAGUCCUGGACCACGCAGUUAGCAGUAGAAGUAGGGAGGCCUUCGCUUCAGGGUUGCGCAGUUCUACCCGCGAUGGGUACUAGAGGCGGUGCAUCCAUCUUCUGGGAUAAGCAACUAGUCAACAUAGUUACGCACAUGAUUGCUAGCUUCUCCAUCACGGUUAGGGUAGAGAUCAUCAGUAGCAGCGAGUUCUUUUGGAUGAAAACUAUCUACGGGCCUUCGGAGGAUGAGCAAAAGGAAAACUUCCUAACUGAAUUAGCUAGCACAGCACCUCCCCUCUCUGAACCUUGUAUGCUCAACGGAGAUUUCAACAUGAUAUAUCAGGCGAGGGAAAAAAACAAUGGUCUGAUUAACAGAAGGAUGAUGGGUCGUUUUUGCCGAGCGAUUGAUCUUGCCGGGGUCAGGGAGGUCAAAUGCAGAAACAAGCGGUUUACUUGGAGUAGUGAAGAGAAUCCCCAACCUUAUGCAGCAUCGACAAGAUUUUUUCUAACUUGGCAUGGGAGGACAUGUUUCCUGAUUUGA